CUGGGUAUACACUGAAUGUUUGAACAGAAGAAUUAGUCAUAGGUCAGACAAUAUGGCUUGUUAUCACUACACCCUUCAUUUGAAGGAAAACCAAAUAAAUUGGUUUUAUAUUUCAACCAGCUGAAACGGCAGUAAAAGAAAGUAAAUUCUCCUGGGUUUCCAUUUCUAAAAAAAUUAAAAUCCCAGCUUCUCAUCUCACAUGUAACCAAAUGUUUUUGGCCGCUGAAAAAUCCUGCCAUUGGUCAGGCUCGGCAAUAGGCACAUCCCAUACACCUGGUGAUGCGCGCUCAGCCCCGCAUCCCGGCCCGGGGGGGACAAAGCCGGCAGCGGGGAUCUGUCAGGCCGCGUCCCGGCGCCAGCCCCGGGCCGGCAGCUCAGGCGAGCGCGAUGCCAGGUUAACAAUUUGCCUCCCUCCUGGACGCCGCGGCAACCCUCCAUUUUGUCAGCCUCCUCAAUUUAAACGUUUUCCAAGGCGAAGGCAGAACUUCAGCAUUUCUUCGGGAGCCCUCCGGGGCUUUAAAGCAUCCCCGACCAUUUUGCGCAGCCAGCGCUCCGGGCUAAGUUUAGCAGGGCAGCGGCGCACGCCGCGGCUCACGGGCAGCGCCGAGCCCCCCGCGGGGCAGCCCGUGGGCUCCUUCCCAUCGCUUCUCCCGGCGGCGCCUCCUCCCGCCCCGCGCUCCGGCAGCGCCCGGCUUCCUCCCCGCACGGGGACAGGCAGGUGGAUGUCGGGAGGAGGGCAAGGAAGGGACGGGAGACAGGAGCCGCCGCGGGCAGCAGGGUGCCGGCAGCAGCCUUAGAAUCCCAGAAUGACAGAAGCGACUACAAACACCCGGGAAGAGCAGGCACAAGGAGAGGAACGAGCGAGAGAAAAGAGUUUUGCUGGUCAGUAAACUUCAAGCUGCUGCGAUGAGGUCAUUGGUGUAAAUAUAAAGCGAUGGCGUCAUUUGAAACCAAUCCCAGUGAAUGAACUCAGCCGGGGGGUGAAGGUGGGGGGAGAGGGUGAAGGAGAAAGAGGAGGAGCAACGAGAGAGGAUCACUGCGGGGCCCAGCGGCAGCGGCGGCCGCGCAGCCUCGGCGGCGUGAGGCGAUGGCGGAUGGGAGGGGGGGGGUCUCUCACUGUCCCCGGGGGAAACACGGGCCCCGCUGCCCGCGGCCUCCAGCGACAGCCGCUGGGCCGUCCCUGGGAGGAGCCGCGGAGCGAUUCAACCGAGCCGCCGGCACGGCCCUUCCCCGCCCCUCGCCCGGCCCUCGCUCGGCCCCGGCCUCCCCGCAGGCCCUCCCCGCCCGCGGCCCCUUCCCCGCGCGGCCCGGAGCCCUCCCGGCGUGUGGCGCCUCACGACGCCUCGGGCCCGCAGCCGUGUCCGCUCGGCCUCCGUCCGCUUGGCCACCUCCCCUCCCCUCCUCUCUGUCCUGCGCCAGCUGAGGGGGCAUCCGUGAAUACCGCCCUUGCCUUUGCUUUCACAGUGUGCCGCUGUGCGGUGCGAUCCACAACCACCUGGGUGUGAAGGCGUCACAUCCCUCUGUGGUAGUGCCGUGGGAUCCUACAACCACAGAGUGUCUGAGGGAAGGGAAAGGAACUUAAAGUCAUCCAGUUCCAACCCCUGUCACUGAGGUCGGCAGAGCAUCGUGUGGGUCAUGUGGGGUACACUGGAGGCCUUUGCCCUUUAAAUAACCUUAUUAAAGAAAUUUAAAAAUCUGAAACCACACAGUGAAAAUCUAUGCAGAUCUACAGAAGUAGAUGUUAUUUUUGCCUGACAUGUAUCU
ensembl:lncRNA